AGCUUGCUGGGGGAUUAGUGGCGAACGGGUGAGUAACACGUGAGUAACCUGCCCUUAACUCUGGGAUAAGCCUGGGAAACUGGGUCUAAUACCGGAUAUGACUCCUCAUCGCAUGGUGGGGGGUGGAAAGCUUUAUUGUGGUUUUGGAUGGACUCGCGGCCUAUCAGCUUGUUGGUGAGGUAAUGGCUCACCAAGGCGACGACGGGUAGCCGGCCUGAGAGGGUGACCGGCCACACUGGGACUGAGACACGGCCCAGACUCCUACGGGAGGCAGCAGUGGGGAAUAUUGCACAAUGGGCGAAAGCCUGAUGCAGCGACGCCGCGUGAGGGAUGACGGCCUUCGGGUUGUAAACCUCUUUCAGUAGGGAAGAAGCGAAAGUGACGGUACCUGCAGAAGAAGCGCCGGCUAACUACGUGCCAGCAGCCGCGGUAAUACGUAGGGCGCAAGCGUUAUCCGGAAUUAUUGGGCGUAAAGAGCUCGUAGGCGGUUUGUCGCGUCUGCCGUGAAAGUCCGGGGCUCAACUCCGGAUCUGCGGUGGGUACGGGCAGACUAGAGUGAUGUAGGGGAGACUGGAAUUCCUGGUGUAGCGGUGAAAUGCGCAGAUAUCAGGAGGAACACCGAUGGCGAAGGCAGGUCUCUGGGCAUUAACUGACGCUGAGGAGCG
rnacentral:rRNA from 1 species